rnacentral:rRNA from 1 species
GAUGAACGCUGGCGGCGUGCCUAAUACAUGCAAGUCGAGCGAACGGACGAGAAGUUUGCUUUUCUGAUGUUAGCGGCGGACGGGUGAGUAAUACGUGGCUAACCUACCUAUAAGACUGGGAUAACUUCGGGAAACCGGAGCCAAUACCUGAUAAUAUUUUGAACCGCAUGGUUCAAAAGUGAAAGACGGUCUUGCUGUCACUUAUAGAUGGAUCGGCGCUGCAUUAGCUAGUUGGUAAGGUAACGGCUUACUAAGGCAACGAUGCAUAGCCGACCUGAGAGGGUGAUCGGCCACACUGGAACUGAGACACGGUCCAGACUCCGACGGGAGGCAGCGGUAGGGAAUCUUCCGCAAUGAGCGAAAGCCUGACGGAGCAACGCCGCGUGAGUGAUGAAGGUCUUCGGAUCGUAAAACUCUGUUAUUAGGGAAGAACAUAUGUGUAAGUAACUGUGCACAUCUUGACGGUACCUAAUCAGAAAGCCACGGCUAACUACGUG